rnacentral:tRNA from 1 species
CCCUGGUUAGCGAAGUUGGUAGAGCGCUCCACCUGUAAUGGAGAGGUCCCGGGUUCGAUACCCGGACCAGGCG